AUUGAACGCUGGCGGCAUGCCUUACACAUGCAAGUCGAACGGUAACGGGUCCUUCGGGUUCCCGACGAGUGGCCGAGGGGUGGGUAAUAUAUGGGAACGUCCCCAGUAGCGUUGGCUAACUGCUCGAAAGAGCAACUAAUACCCCAAUCGACCAGAGGGCGUAAGGGGGGGAGCACAAGACCUCUCGCUCUUGCGGCGGCCGAUAUCAGAUUAGCUAGUUGGUGGGGUAAAGGCCUACCAAGGCAACGAUCCGUAGUUGGUCUGAGAGGACGAGCAGCCACACUGGGACUGAGACACGGCCCAGACUCCUACGGGAGGCAGCAGUGGGGAAUUUUGGACAAUGGGCGCAAGCCUGAUCCAGCAAUGCCGCGUGGAGGAAGAAGGCCUUCGGGUUGUAAACUGCUUUUGUCAGGGAAGAAAUCCUCUGGGCUAAUACCCCGGGGGGAUGACGGUACCUGAAGAAUAAGCACCGGCUAACUACGUG
rnacentral:rRNA from 1 species